AAUGAACGCUGGCGGCGGGCCUAAAACAUGCAAGUCGAACGCCCUAGCAAUAGGGAGUGGCGCACGGGUGAGUAACACGUGGGAAUAUGCCUUUUGGUACGGAACAACGUCUGGAAACGGACGCUAAUGCCGUAUGGUCCCUUCGGGGUAAAGAUUUAUCGCCAAAAGAUUAGCCCGCGUCUGAUUAGCCAGUUGGUGAGGUAAUGGCUCACCAAGGCGACGAUCAGUAGCUGGUCUGAGAGGACGAUCAGCCACACUGGGACUGAGACACGGCCCAGACUCCUACGGGAGGCAGCAGUUAGGAAUAUUGGACAAUGGACGCAAGUCUGAUCCAGCCAUGCCGCGUGAGUGAUGAAGGCCUUCGGGUUGUAAAGCUCUUUAGUCCACGAUUAUAAUGACUGUAGUGGAAGAAUAAGCCCCGGCUAACUUCGUGCCAGCAGCCGCCGUAAGAC
rnacentral:rRNA from 1 species